rnacentral:rRNA from 1 species
GGGAGUACAUCAGCGGCAGACGGGUGAGUAACACGUAGAUAACCUGCCCUCAAGACGGGGACAACCGGUGGAAACAGCGGCUAAUACCCGAUAUGCUCACAGGAUCGGGAGGUCGAGUGAGGAAAGCGCCCCUUCGGGGGAGAGUGUUUGAGGAGGGAUCUGCGGCCCAUCAGCUAGUUGGUGAGGUAACGGCUCACCAAGGCGAAGACGGGUAGGGGGUGUGAGAGCAUGGCCCCCCACAAUGGGACUGAGACACGGCCCAUACUCCUACGGGAGGCAGCAGCGGGGAAUAUUGCGCAAUGGACGGAAGUCAGACGCAGCGACGCCGCGUGGGUGAGGAAGGCCUUCGGGUUGUAAAGCCCUUUUCAGGGGAGCGAGAAAGGACGGUACCCUUGGAAUAAGCGUCGGCUAACUACGUGCCAGCAGCCGCGGUAAGACGUAGGACGCAAGCGUUAUCCGGAUUUACUGGGCGUAAAGCGCCUGUAGGCGGUCAAGUAAGUCGGAUGUGAAAGCCCCGUGCUCAACGCGGGGAAGCCAUUCGAUACUGCGUGACUAGAGAACGGCAGAGGGAAACGGAAUUUCUGGUGUAGCGGUAAAAUGCGCAGAGAUCAGAAAGAACACCGAUGGCGAAGGCAGUUUCCUAGGCCGCAUCUGACGCUGAGAGGCGAAAGCUAGGGGAGCAAACCGGAUUAG